rnacentral:lncRNA from 1 species
CAAUUGGCAAUAGGACAUGAUGGGACGAGAUGAGCCAAUAUUUGCCAAUCUUGCUACUGUAUUUUGUAAAAUUAUAGUUUGGCCUCAAAACUUUAUAAAAUUACACUAUGACCCAAAACUUUAUAAAACUUGUCAAAUAAGUUAAUUUCCAAAAUUUUAAGCAAUAUUUGCUAAUUUGAAAAUUCUCAAAACUUUUUAAUUUAACACAUUAACAUAAAAUCACUUUUCAUUGGAUAUAAAACCUUUAUAAUAUGAAAAUAUAUGAAAAAUAAUUUGAGCCUUUAAAAUAAUUUUAAUCAAGUUUGUUAUCAUCAAAAUCAAUAUUAAAGAAAUAUUUAUGUUAACAUAAACAUGUUCAAUGCUAAUAAAACAUUCAACCACAUACCCAUUCUUAUCCACACUAUGUAAUACAAUGGCCAUUUGCUCUUUUGUAGACAUAUCAUAAGACUCAUUAGCUCAAACAUAAAAUAAUGGCACCAUCCAUCUUUCUAAUAAUAACAUUAGUAGUUUCAAUUAAAGCACAUCUUACAAUGUCUUUUUGAAUCUUUGGGCAUGUUGUUUGCAGAUUUAGAGUACUAUUUCUAAGCAACAACAAUUAGUAUCUUCAUUAUAAUCAGCACGGAAGCAUAAAACCUCAAGAAAAUUCCCUUGAUUGCUUGAACCAUCAGACUCAUCCCCACGAAAUGCUAGCCGUCGAUUUGAAAGAAGUCGAAUAAAAUCGAAAAACAACAUUCAAGCAAGUUUCAUGUUCACUUUGAGUUUUCUCAAAUUGUCUUUAAAAAAAAAUAUUGUCAUAUGUUGUUUGUGAUUCAUCAACCUUUCACAUUUCUACCUACCUCGAUUAUGAGCAUUGUUGACACCUCCUUCAUUAAUCUUUAAUUUUUCUUUAUGUUUCCAAUUUUUAGUCAUUUCCCAGUAAAAGUGUCACUACAUUCUUGAUCACUAUUGUUUUCUUUGAAAAGAUAACAAAAAAGGCAAUAUGUAGACUCAUCUUCUAUACUAUAUUCCAACCAAGUGCCAAAUUCUUUGAACCAAUUCGAAACACAUUGUCAUUAUUGAUUACUAAACUUCUCAAACUUAAAAUUGUGCCCCUUAGGUUGAAAAGGACCCAUUUGCAAAGUAUGUUAUUCGAAUUUGAUCUUGAAUAUUGCAAUUAUGGCAUAAGCCAUGGUUGGCAAGCAAGCAAAUUUCAUAAAUUGACUUUAUAUGAACCAUCACUAGCUCUUUUUAGAGGAAGUAGGAGUGGUGGUUUCUGUUUAAAAAAUUUCUCCAUGGCCAUUUCAAAUCAAAUAAAUUUAUUAUUAGCUUAAACUCCACAAUAAUGGCUAAAUCCUAACAAAAUAAUUGCAACAAGAAUGAUUAAUAUAAUACAAAAUCGAUAUUUAAAAGUAUUAUUUUACAAUACAUUUAAUAAGGCUCACAAAAAUGCUAGAAUAUUAACAACAUAUUUAUAAAAUUUUAUCUUUCCAAUUGCCCAUUUGUUUGCCAAAAAAGAGAAAAAAGAAAAAUGCUACUUUUAUAUAAUAAGCCAUUUUCACUUUUUACACAGCACCCACUGUCCCACUCUCUUUUCAAUUGAAUUUUAAUGUCAAAGUAUUGCUCACUCAUAACAGUGAACAUUUACUUUUGGAGUUUGUAUAUAAGUAUCAAAAUACGAAUUGAUGAAUAGAAAUGCAAAAUACUAACUCUUCAUACGGCCAAAAAUCAUCAAUUCAUAAUUGGCACAAUACAUGUUUUAAAUCUAUGGCUGGUCUAAUGGCAGCUGCAGUAAGGGAUGACAGGCUCAAUGGUGGUAAUAGCGAACGACAACGGGCUGGCGACAGUAAGAAUGGAUGACGUCGGCAAAUUAAUGGCAAUGGUGUUGGUGGCCAAGUCUAAGUUGUGAUUUAGGGAUUUACUGUUUACGAUUUUAAGAUUUACUUCUUCUUUUUUUUAUAUAUUCCUUUAAUUUUUUAUUGUUAAUAUAAAAAUGGUGAAUUUGUAAUUUAAUUUUAAAUUAUGAUUUAAUUAAAUUUUAAAAUUAGGUGUAUAAUUAAAAGUUUUAACCAUUUAAAUAGGUUUAAUUUGAAGUCCAUAACACUUAAUAUAUUAGUAUUGGAUCUAAUAAUUAAAAGCGACUAAAAUGACUUAGUUUAAGAAAUUUUAAGGCCCAUAAAGGGCUGAAACCCUUUCGGAGCCUUGAUUGUGUUCGCUCAUGGUGAUGGAGAUGUCAUCUAUCAAACGGGUACGGCACUGACAUUCGUGCACAAUAUCCAACCUAUUGUCGUCCCUGCGAAUGAUUGCCAAGGCAAGGAAAUAUCCUAGGCGUGAUUCAAGAUUCAGCAAGACUUAAAAUCAAUCAUGUUCAAAUAUUAUAUAACAAUGAAGUUCACAAAUUAGCCACAUUUUCAUUUAGCAAUUCGAGCUAUGUCUUUUGGCCGAAGAAGUUCUAGCUUUUAUUUGUGCUUUGCUUUGUUAAUCAAUUAAGUUUCAUUUAAAAUGGGUAAAAUGAAAACCGUGAAUGUUUUGCUUAAAUAACUUUUAUUUAUCUAUUAGUGAGCAGAUCGUUGUACUCAGAUCACCAAAUUAAAUUUCUUAUUAAGUGGAGAUAAGAAUCUCACUUUAAAGUUGCCUUCAUCUAGAGGAUCGAUUGCAUCGCAACUAAUUUUUUGAUAAAUUCAAGUCCAAAUGAAUGCGACAUUUAUCAGUUCAACUUUCAAGUCAAUAAUUAGCGGUUACGUAUAUGAACUAUAUGAACGUUCAGCUAAAAUUGUCCGUGGCUGUUGUGUUCGUUUUGAUUUUUUACACCAUCUCUGUCUGAUAACGAAAUACUGAUGCCUUGGCUACCGUCACGUCAAUUAUUGCCUUAGUUGUUUCCACCAAAGCUUGCGUCGUACAGUGAGAUUUUAUUAACUCUGGAAAAAAUUGUACAGCUUACCACAAAUUAAAGGACUCUUUUGGUCCCAAAACUGAUAGUGGAAUUUGACAAUUCCUAUUUUACAUGCAUGUAAUAUAUAUUUUCUUCACAUGAAUAAUGUGUGGAUCCCACACAUGUAUUGUUCAUGUGAGAGAAAUAUAUUUUACAUGCAUGUAAGAUAGAAGAAUCCGUGGAAUUUUAUCCAUUCCCACAUUUAACGAAUUUAAUUUCUUCACCACCUCUUUAAUUUUUUUCUCAAUUUCACAUCUAUCAUGAAAAAAAAGGCCUUUUGGUGAUGCUGCUGAUACAUUACUCCUUAACUAAAAAAUUAAAGUUAUGCUAAUAUGACUUUAUGCUAAUAUGAUUAAGGCCGUCGUAAAAAUAAAAUUCAUCUUAAAAACAACUACUGCACAUGAUUCAACUUUCCUAUUGUUUUUCAUGCAUAAAAUUAAUUUUUGAAAAUCCAUUCAUAGUAGUUGGCGCCGACAGUUGCCUGCCUACCUACCUACCGCCCAUUAGAUUUUUCCAUUUUUUACCAUAUA